UGGGUCUCACGGUUGUCUCUUUGU
rnacentral:siRNA from 1 species